rnacentral:rRNA from 1 species
GCUUACGGACACACCACCCUGAGCACGCCCGAUCUCGUCCGAUCUCGGAAGCUAACCAGGGUCGGGCCUGGUUAGUACUUGGAUGGGAGACCGCCUGGGAAUACCAGGUGCUGUAAGCU